rnacentral:rRNA from 1 species
AUUGAACGCUGGCGGCAUGCUUUACACAUGCAAGUCGAACGGCAGCGCGGGCUUCGGCCUGGCGGCGAGUGGCGAACGGGUGAGUAAUGCAUCGGAACGUGCCCAGUAGUGGGGGAUAGCCCGGCGAAAGCCGGAUUAAUACCGCAUACGACCUGAGGGUGAAAGCGGGGGACCGAAAGGCCUCGCGCUAUUGGAGCGGCCGAUGUCGGAUUAGCUAGUUGGUGGGGUAAAGGCUUACCAAGGCGACGAUCCGUAGCUAGUCUGAGAGGACGACCAGCCACACUGGGACUGAGACACGGCCCAGACUCCUACGGGAGGCAGCAGUGGGGAAUUUUGGACAAUGGGGGCAACCCUGAUCCAGCCAUGCCGCGUGCGGGAAGAAGGCCUUCGGGUUGUAAACCGCUUUUGUUCGGGAAGAAAUCCUCUGGGCUAAUACCCCGGGGGGAUGACGGUACCGGAAGAAUAAGCACCGGCUAACUACGUGC